UUAAGUUAUUAAGGGCGCACGGUGGAUGCCUUGGCACUAGAAGCCGAUGAAGGACGUUACUAACGACGAUAUGCUUUGGGGAGCUGUAAGUAAGCUUUGAUCCAGAGAUUUCCGAAUGGGGAAACCCAGCAUGAGUUAUGUCAUGUUAUCGAUAUGUGAAUACAUAGCAUAUCAGAAGGCACACCCGGAGAACUGAAACAUCUUAGUACCCGGAGGAAGAGAAAGAAAAUUCGAUUCCCUUAGUAGCGGCGAGCGAAACGGGAAGAGCCCAAACCAACAAGCUUGCUUGUUGGGGUUGUAGGACACUCUAUACGGAGUUACAAAGGACGACAUUAGACGAAUCAUCUGGAAAGAUGAAUCAAAGAAGGUAAUAAUCCUGUAGUCGAAAAUGUUGUCUCUCUUGAGUGGAUCCUGAGUACGACGGAGCACGUGAAAUUCCGUCGGAAUCUGGGAGGACCAUCUCCUAAGGCUAAAUACUCUCUAGUGACCGAUAGUGAACCAGUACCGUGAGGGAAAGGUGAAAAGCACCCCGGAAGGGGAGUGAAAUAGAACCUGAAACCGUGUGCUUACAAGUAGUCAGAGCCCGUUAAUGGGUGAUGGCGUGCCUUUUGUAGAAUGAACCGGCGAGUUACGAUUUGAUGCAAGGUUAAGCAGUAAAUGUGGAGCCGUAGCGAAAGCGAGUCUGAAUAGGGCGUUUAGUAUUUGGUCGUAGACCCGAAACCAGGUGAUCUACCCUUGGUCAGGUUGAAGUUCAGGUAACACUGAAUGGAGGACCGAACCGACUUACGUUGAAAAGUGAGCGGAUGAACUGAGGGUAGCGGAGAAAUUCCAAUCGAACCUGGAGAUAGCUGGUUCUCUCCGAAAUAGCUUUAGGGCUAGCCUCAAGUGAUGAUUAUUGGAGGUAGAGCACUGUUUGGACGAGGGGCCCCUCUCGGGUUACCGAAUUCAGACAAACUCCGAAUGCCAAUUAAUUUAACUUGGGAGUCAGAACAUGGGUGAUAAGGUCCGUGUUCGAAAGGGAAACAGCCCAGACCACCAGCUAAGGUCCCAAAAUAUAUGUUAAGUGGAAAAGGAUGUGGCGUUGCCCAGACAACUAGGAUGUUGGCUUAGAAGCAGCCAUCAUUUAAAGAGUGCGUAAUAGCUCACUAGUCGAGUGACACUGCGCCGAAAAUGUACCGGGGCUAAACAUAUUACCGAAGCUGUGGAUUGUCCUUUGGACAAUGGUAGGAGAGCGUUCUAAGGGCGUUGAAGCAUGAUCGUAAGGACAUGUGGAGCGCUUAGAAGUGAGAAUGCCGGUGUGAGUAGCGAAAGACGGGUGAGAAUCCCGUCCACCGAUUGACUAAGGUUUCCAGAGGAAGGCUCGUCCGCUCUGGGUUAGUCGGGUCCUAAGCUGAGGCCGACAGGCGUAGGCGAUGGAUAACAGGUUGAUAUUCCUGUACCACCUAUAAUCGUUUUAAUCGAUGGGGGGACGCAGUAGGAUAGGCGAAGCGUGCGAUUGGAUUGCACGUCUAAGCAGUAAGGCUGAGUAUUAGGCAAAUCCGGUACUCGUUAAGGCUGAGCUGUGAUGGGGAGAAGACAUUGAGUCUUCGAGUCGUUGAUUUCACACUGCCGAGAAAAGCCUCUAGAUAGAAAAUAGGUGCCCGUACCGCAAACCGACACAGGUAGUCAAGAUGAGAAUUCUAAGGUGAGCGAGCGAACUCUCGUUAAGGAACUCGGCAAAAUGACCCCGUAACUUCGGGAGAAGGGGUGCUCUUUAGGGUUAACGCCCAGAGGAGCCGCAGUGAAUAGGCCCAAGCGACUGUUUAUCAAAAACACAGGUCUCUGCUAAACCGUAAGGUGAUGUAUAGGGGUUGACGCCUGCCCGGUGCUGGAAGGUUAAGAGGAGUGGUUAGCUUCUGCGAAGCUACGAAUCGAAGCCCCAGUAAACGGCGGCCGUAACUAUAACGGUCCUAAGGUAGCGAAAUUCCUUGUCGGGUAAGUUCCGACCCGCACGAAAGGCGUAACGAUUUGGGCACUGUCUCAACGAGAGACUCGGUGAAAUCAUAGUACCUGUGAAGAUGCAGGUUACCCGCGACAGGACGGAAAGACCCCGUGGAGCUUUACUGUAGCCUGAUAUUGAAAUUCGGCACAGCUUGUACAGGAUAGGUAGGAGCCUUUGAAACGUGAGCGCUAGCUUACGUGGAGGCGCUGGUGGGAUACUACCCUAGCUGUGUUGGCUUUCUAACCCGCACCACUUAUCGUGGUGGGAGACAGUGUCAGGCGGGCAGUUUGACUGGGGCGGUCGCCUCCUAAAAGGUAACGGAGGCGCUCAAAGGUUCCCUCAGAAUGGUUGGAAAUCAUUCAUAGAGUGUAAAGGCAUAAGGGAGCUUGACUGCGAGACCUACAAGUCGAGCAGGGUCGAAAGACGGACUUAGUGAUCCGGUGGUUCCGCAUGGAAGGGCCAUCGCUCAACGGAUAAAAGCUACCCCGGGGAUAACAGGCUUAUCUCCCCCAAGAGUUCACAUCGACGGGGAGGUUUGGCACCUCGAUGUCGGCUCAUCGCAUCCUGGGGCUGUAGUCGGUCCCAAGGGUUGGGCUGUUCGCCCAUUAAAGCGGUACGCGAGCUGGGUUCAGAACGUCGUGAGACAGUUCGGUCCCUAUCCGUCGUGGGCGUAGGAAAUUUGAGAGGAGCUGUCCUUAGUACGAGAGGACCGGGAUGGACAUACCUCUGGUGUACCAGUUGUCGUGCCAACGGCAUAGCUGGGUAGCUAUGUGUGGACGGGAUAAGUGCUGAAAGCAUCUAAGCAUGAAGCCCCCCUCAAGAUGAGAUUUCCCAACUUCGGUUAUAAGAUCCCUCAAAGAUGAUGAGGUUAAUAGGUUCGAGGUGGAAGCAUGGUGACAUGUGGAGCUGACGAAUACUAAUCGAUCGAAGACUUAAUCAA
rnacentral:rRNA from 1 species